AAGUCGAACGGCAGCGCGGGAGCAAUCCUGGCGGCGAGUGGCGAACGGGUGAGUAAUACAUCGGAACGUGCCCAAUCGUGGGGGAUAACGCAGCGAAAGCUGUGCUAAUACCGCAUACGAUCUACGGAUGAAAGCAGGGGAUCGCAAGACCUUGCGCGAAUGGAGCGGCCGAUGGCAGAUUAGGUAGUUGGUGGGGUAAAGGCUCACCAAGCCUUCAUCUGUAGCUGGUCUGAGAGGACGACCAGCCACACUGGGACUGAGACACGGCCCAGACUCCUACGGGAGGCAGCAGUGGGGAAUUUUGGACAAUGGGCGCAAGCCUGAUCCAGCCAUGCCGCGUGCAGGAUGAAGGCCUUCGGGUUGUAAACUGCUUUUGUACGGAACGAAACGGCUCUUUCUAAUAAAGAGGGCUAAUGACGGUACCGUAAGAAUAAGCACCGGCUAACUACGUGCCAGCAGCCGCGGUAAUACGUAGGGUGCAAGCGUUAAUCGGAAUUACUGGGCGUAAAGCGUGCGCAGGCGGUAAUGUAAGACAGUUGUGAAAUCCCCGGG
rnacentral:rRNA from 1 species